rnacentral:misc_RNA from 1 species
GAUGAAGAGCGCAGCGAAAUGCGAUAAGUAAUGUGAAUUGCAGAAUUCAGUGAAUCAUCGAAUCUUUGAACGCACCUUGCGCCCGCCAGUAUUCUGGCGGGCAUGCCUGUUCGAGCGUCAUUUCAACCAUCAAGCCCCGGGCUUGUGUUGGGGAUCUGCGGCUGCCCGCAGGCCCUGAAAACCAGUGGCGGGCUCGCUGUCACUCCGAGCGUAGUAGCACUCGUAUCUCGCUCAGGGCGUGCCGCGGGCUCCGGCCGUUAAACCGCCUCUUUAGCACCCAAAGGUUGACCUCGGAUCAGGUAGGAGGACCCGCUGAACUUAAGCAUAUCAAUAAGCGGAGGA